AGCGAACGCUGGCGGCAGGCUUAACACAUGCCAGUCGAGCGGGCACUUCGGUGUCAGCGGCAGACGGGUGAGUAACACGUGGGAACGUACCCUUCGGUUCGGAAUAACGCUGGGAAACUAGCGCUAAUACCGGAUACGCCCUUUUGGGGAAAGGUUUACUGCCGAAGGAUCGGCCCGCGUCUGAUUAGCUAGUUGGUGGGGUAAUGGCCUACCAAGGCGACGAUCAGUAGCUGGUCUGAGAGGAUGAUCAGCCACACUGGGACUGAGACACGGCCCAGACUCCUACGGGAGGCAGCAGUAGGGAAUAUUGGACAAUGGGCGCAAGCCUGAUCCAGCCAUGCCGCGUGAGUGAUGAAGGCCUUAGGGUUGUAAAGCUCUUUUGUCCGGGACGAUAAUGACGGUACCGGAAGAAUAAGCCCCGGCUAACUUCGUG
rnacentral:rRNA from 1 species